GACGAACGCUGGCGGCGUGCUUAACACAUGCAAGUCGAACGGUGAAGCGCCUUCCUUUUUGGUGGGUGUGGAUGAGUGGCGAACGGGUGAGUAACACGUGAGUAACCUGCCCCCUUCUUCUGGAUAACCGCAUGAAAGUGUGGCUAAUACGGGAUAUUCUGGGUCUGUCGCAUGAUGGGUCUGGGAAAGAUAUUGUUUCGGUGGGGGAUGGGCUCGCGGCCUAUCAGCUUGUUGGUGGGGUGAUGGCCUACCAAGGCGGUGACGGGUAGCCGGCCUGAGAGGGUGGACGGUCACACUGGGACUGAGAGACGGCGCAGACUCCUACGGGAGGCAGCAGUGGGGAAUAUUGCACAAUGGGCGCAAGCCUGAUGCAGCGACGCCGCGGGAGGGAUGGAGGCCUGCGGGUUGUGAACCUCUUUCGCCAGUGAAGCAGGCCUGCCUCGUUUGUGGGUGGGUUGACGGUAGCUGGAUAAGAAGCGCCGGCUAACUACGUG
rnacentral:rRNA from 1 species